GGUUUCCAACUUUUGAUACAAGACCUUGCUGAUGCAACCGGAGAAGGAAAUUUCCGAGCAUCAGAAACAAAGAUACCAUGAACUGGGUAGUUCUGAGAGAGUCUUUACUCAACAUGCUUCUGGUGACGAGAAAAGUAAAAUACUAAAGCUUGAUGAAGGAUUGCUUUUGACCAUUGUGUGUAAACUGUAUCAAACCUAUGCUGGAUGCACCGAUUAACUGAUAUGUUCGAAGAAUUCUGCGGCACAACCAACUGA